AAUAUAGAAUUAUUUAAAUAAACGGUCAAUCUUUCUCAGUUAUUGCUUGUAAUACUUAUCAUACGAGACAUGUUUAUAUAAAUUUCACCAUUGAUUGAAAAUGUAGUUAGUAUAUUAGAAAAUAUGGAUAGUAUUUCUAGUUCAAAAGAAAAAUACCACGUUUUUUAUUUUGUCCAGUUGCAAGUCCUAACUAUCUGCGAUGAGCAGCUUGCUAUUAUUAAAAUAUAGAUUUUUUUUGCAUUUUUAUGUAUUAUUCUAUGUGUGUUUACAGUAAUAAAGAAGAAUAAAUCAAAACGUAAAAAUUUCUUUUGAAUACUUCUGAACUGACCUAUGUUGUGUUUUAGGCCAUUAUUCGACGAAAGGACGCACAAAACUUGUGGCAAAUCACAUGAUGUGCCAUUUGCGAAAAUACCUCGGUGGCACAUAAGGCAAAGAUAUACUACAAAUCGAAGUAUGUUCUGUCCUAAUCAACGGCGAAUGGGAAAUGGAACAAAAGACCUUUAAAAGCAGUUCCGCUUCACCUGAUCCCACAACGAGCCGACCAUCUCUUGGAACCGGGCCAGUUCUUCCAACAGUGCUCUAAAAAUAAGUGAGAUGUGCCAACCUUGAAACAUGUUCGAGAACUCGCUCAAAACAACCUGUUGACUGUACUGAAAGAACAAUUAGAGACAUUGAGGAUGACACACAAACAAGUUCCGUUGAGGCGAAAAACCCUAACAGGUAACAUAAACCUAAUUUUCCUGUGAUUACUGGUAAGUGUUGUAAAAAAAAAACAACAAUUUGUGAUGUCUCCAAAAGCUGAUUGUGGUGUGUGGAUAUUCAAAACUAUUUAUUAUGAUGUAGAUCGAGGAUUAAUAACAAAAAUAUGAUUGUGAUAAAAGUCUUGAAAGAAGAAACCUGUUCUCUGUGACCCUGAUUUGAUCAAAAUUGAAGUUAAUUGAUUCGUACAAUUCAAUUGAUUGAAAACUACGAUAAAAAACACAAAAAUUGUAUACUAGUUUUUAAUUAAAAACUUAUGUUUUGUUUAACAGCAUCAUAUGGUGUUCAUCCAACCCAUGAUUAUUAAAGAAAACCUUUUUGGUGUCAUUAAAACGUGUAUAUGUUUCGAAUUGUAAAUUAGGUAUAAAUUUUGUAAACUUUCAAUAUUAGAAUAAUGGCGUUUGUAUUUGAUCAAUAUAAAAUAGAUAAAAGUUUGUAAAUCAAGUGAUGUCUUUUGUGGGCUGUUGUUGAAUAAAUAUUUACUUUUGGUCUUAUUUAAAAUUUUAAUAUUUCUAUAUUCAUAAUCCUUUAGAGGUAAUUUCAUUUGGCUAGAUGUCUAUUUUCCAACCUGAAACAUCGG